rnacentral:rRNA from 1 species
AUGGCAAAGUGCCUCGCGGUCGCGCUCCUCCUGCUGGUGGCGCUCGCGUACUGCGACGGGAGGGAGCUGAACCAGAAGGGCCAGGCACUUGCAACGGCACGCGGUGCCGGUGGUGGCAUCGGCGAGGAGAAGAUUUUGGGGUUGCCAGAGUUGCCGCUUGUGGGAACCGUUACAGGGACCAGUACCGUUACCGGCCCUGCGGUGGUGCUUCCUGCUAUCCCGGCUCACCCAUGA